CCUACGGGGGGCAGCAGUGAGGAAUAUUGGUCAAUGGACGAGAGUCUGAACCAGCCAAGUAGCGUGAAGGAUGACUGCCCUAUGGGUUGUAAACUUCUUUUAUAUGGGAAUAAAAUGUUCCACGUGUGGGCUUUUGUAUGUACCAUAUGAAUAAGGAUCGGCUAACUCCGUGCCAGCAGCCGCGGUAAUACGGAGGAGCCGAGCGUUAUCCGGAUUUAUUGGGUUUAAAGGGAGCGUAGGUGGAUUGUUAAGUCAGGUGUGAAAGUUUGCGGCUCAACCGUAAAAUUGCAGUUGAAACUGGCAGUCUUGAGUACAGUAGAGGUGGGCGGAAUGCGUGGUGUAGCGGUGAAAUGCUUAGAUAGCACGAAGAACUCCGAUUGCGAAGGCAGCUCACUGGACUGCAACUGACACUGAGGCUCGAAAGUGUGGGUAUCAAACAGGAUUAGAUACCCUUGUAGUC
rnacentral:rRNA from 1 species